CUGAGUUUUCGAACUCCCAAACCUUUGUGAACAUACCAUUGUUGCUUCGGCGGGAUCGUCCCGGGCGCGCCUCUUGGGGCGUGUUCCGGAUCCAGGCGCCCGCCGAGGGUAUCAAACUCUUGUUUUUAUAGUGGACUUCUGAGUAUCAUGAGAAAAUAAAUUA
rnacentral:misc_RNA from 1 species